rnacentral:misc_RNA from 1 species
AAGUCGUAACAAGGUUUCCGUAGGUGAACCUGCGGAAGGAUCAUUAAAGAGAGAGACGUUCGCGUUCCGGGGGCUUCGGCCCCUCCUCUUCACCCCGUGUUUAUCCUUACCACAUUCGUUGCUUUGGCAUGGCCCUUGGGGUCGUGCUCAUGCCGCCCGGGGGUGGUCCCGGGGCGAGCGCCUGCCGAAAGCCCAUUUAACUUCUUGAAUCAACCAUGCUGUCUGAGUGAAAACAAAAUCAGCAAAA